rnacentral:snRNA from 1 species
GGUGGUGAAGAAGAUCUGGCUGUGACAUCUUGUCAUCCCAUUGAUUGCCAGGGUUGAGUCAGCCGAUCUGACUGGCUAGCAGGUAUUAUGUACCUCCAAGCUGUCAGCCACUCCCCAUAGAGGAGGACCAUUUCCUCAGUCAAGGAUACAAAAGUAGCUGUGUUUCCAUUAGAACUUCCAAAAACAAGUUCUCAAACCAAACCAAAUCAAGGGUCAGAGAGACAACUCU